CGAUUAAGCCAUGCGAGUCUAGAGGCCUAGCCUCGGCGUACCGCUCAGUAACACGUGGGUAACCUACCCUAUGCUGGGGAAUAAACUCGGGAAACUGAGAAUAAUACCCCAUAGUCCACUACGCCUGGAACGGUGAGUGGAUCAAAGCUCCGGCGGCAUAGGAUGGGCCUGCGGCGUAUCAGGUUGUAGGGGGUGUAAUGUACCCUCUAGCCAUCCACGCGUACGGGUGUUGGGAGACAUUGCCCGGAGAUGGAUUCUGAGACACGAAUCCAGACCCUACGGGGUGCAGCAGGCGCGAAAACUUGGCAAUGCGAGAAAUCGUGACCAGGGAACUCCAAGUGGCAGGGGUAAGACCCUGUCUUUUUCCGACUCUAAAUAGGUCGGCGAAUAAGGGGUGGGUAAGGACGGUGCCAGCCGCCGCGGUAAUACCGGCGCCUCAAGUGGUAGUCGCUUUUAUUGGGCCUAAAACGUCCGUAGCCGGUCUGGUACAUUCGUGGGUAAUCAACUCGCUCAACGAGUUGAAUUCUGCGAGGACGGCCAGACUUGGGACCGGGAGAGGUGUGGGGUACUCUCAGGGUAGGGGUAAAAUCCUGUCAUCCUGAGAGGACCACCUGUUGCGAAGGCUCCACACUAGAACGGAUCCGACGGUCAGGGACGAAGCCUAGGGGCACGAACCGGAUUAGAUACCCGGGUAGUCCUAGGUGUAAACGCUGUGGACUUGAUGUUGGGGACGCUCCGAGCGUUCUCAGUGUCGAAGCGAAGGUGAUAAGUCCACUGCCUGGGGAGUACGGUCGCAAGGCUGAAACUUAAAGGAAUUGGCGGGGGAGCACCGC
rnacentral:rRNA from 1 species